GAAGCAAAUUUGAAUUUUAAAAGAAACUCCGAAGUUUCCUGACCACCCAUUCUCUGCUCCUGAGUAUUCAAGCGAUAAAAAAUCGGGACAGUCAAGUAUUGAGCGAAAAAAGCGGAUUUCAGAUUUUUUAGCUUUUCGCUUUUUCAGAUCUUUUUUACAAACUUGGGAGACCCUAAUCUUGAUGCCAUUUAGUCACGGCUCUAUUUAAACCAAAAAACCAUACAGCAAAACAAGUUUACAAAUCAAUUAAGAUCUGUGAGAUAAAAGGAGAUGUAUUAUUAAUCAGAACACGAAUAACUUUACAAGGAUUCAAUUAACAGAUUAGAUUGCGCUGCGAGUCCUAUGCUUAAUAAAUUCACUCCGAACAUACUUAUAUUUUCGCACACUGUUAUAAGUCAAUUUGCAAAAUUUUACUAUUCACGAUCUAUUAAUAAUGUCAAUCGAUCGCUUUAGUCCCGUCGUGCUCAUUGUUGCCAUCGUUUUCGCAACCCAUGUUGCAAAUCGGCUAGUCCAUCGAACUGAUCCUGCCCAUCGUUUUCACCGUGUUGUGGUGCUUUUUCUCGUGCUGGCGUUUUGCAUUAAGUUGUCAGAACAUCGAAUUCAUAGAGAAGCAAAUGUACAAAGGCCGAAUUUUUUGUUGGCGUGGUAAUUUCCCGGGAUUUUCUUCCUCCUAUUUCCGAAAAUAAAACAGAAAUCCAACCCGUGUAACAUUUGUGCGUUCUCAAUGUUGGGUCCAAAAUUCAUUUGCGUUAUUGCGCAUCUUCAGGGCAUUAGUAUUUAGUUGAAAAGCUUGUUUGUGACAAGACCAUUCGAACUCGUAGUGAAUACCCUCAAUGUUUUAAUUGCUUUCAAU